rnacentral:lncRNA from 1 species
CAAAAUAAAAAUUUCAUUUAACAAAGGGGGUUAGAAGAUGAACUUGGUCCAUCUAGACCCAUUUCAAAAUAAGUUUCUUUCAGCAUCCAUGCUUCUAACAUUGCUGAUGUGUCCGAAGACGAGGUAUUGCUGCUUAAGUCUACCGUGGGUUCACUGAAGAUGACAUCUUUGGAAUAGCUGCCUCCCUUAAUAAUUCCUCGUGCCUCCAAUCUAGCAAGAUGAGCGGUUCCUUUCAAUGUACCCUUGUCCUUCUUAUUCUUGUUAACUGGUUUAGCAAGAGUUUCGCAAGAUUUUAGAACAUCACCCGAAGCAUUUGAAUCCCCUUUUUCUAAAGACUUCUUGAUCUUUUGUACUCCUUGAUUUCCUGAUAAAUCACACUAAUGGGGGCAUUGAAAUCCAUCCCCAUAUCCCCCAUCAUUGAAACAACUAGAAUUUCUUUCUUAUCCUG